GGGGAUGUUAUUUAUUAGACCACCUGAUAAAUCUGAAAAAAGUGAAAAUCACAUCAGGUACUCAAGCCCCUGAGGAAGGUCUUGGGUAGCUAAACUGGGGUUGUGUGUUCCAGCUCUACUAGCUGGGCUCAUAAUAGCCAAGCUCUUUUGCAUAUUCCUUCUGGGUGGCUGAGACAACAGCCCUUGUGUUGCCAGCAGAAGCAUGUGCCAGCUGAUACCCGAGUCUAAGAAACACCAUUUAAGGGCAGUUCUAAGCUUUGAAAUUGCAGCCGCCUUGUCUAAGUGUAGUUCCUGGUGUCUGCCUGCAGCAGUUCUGAUUAUGUGUGUGCAACACCGAUGCUCUGUGUAUGAAGUGGGAACCCCUUUGGCUAGAAGUUAGUGGACACGGACUGGCCUGAAGAGAAAAGAUGCCUGCAGGAAAAAGAAAUAGAAUAACACUUCUAUUCUGUAAAAACAUGCAGCUUCCUCCCCGAGGAGAGCUGGGAGAUCUGUUGCAUCUCUGCCCUGCUUCCAACUUGGACAACACCAGCUGCUGCCAAAGGCCAGAAUUGAAGGGUCCUGUGCCACUUAAAGCUGCUCUUGAGAGCUGGCAUUGCUAAUGCAUUUCCACGGCUCCUCCCUGGAUCCUCGGCUGUUCCCCUGGCAGUGAGAAACCCUGAGAAUUAAAUACCGUGAAAAAGCGUUGUUGAAAAUGUUCAAGAGAAACUGCAUUUCAAGAGAAAAUGCAUUUGAAAAUGUCAGCAUACUGUAAAAGAAGAUGAAAAAAAUGGUGCGAAUAUAUGUUGCUUUACUGUCAAAAACUGAGCAGCCCAAACCUGUCCUGAGUUGCC
ensembl:lncRNA uncharacterized LOC115494821